GUUGGGUGCAGUGGCUCACACCUGUAAUCCCAGCUGCUCAGGAGGCUGAGGCAGGAGGAGCACAGGUUCAAAGCCAGCCUCAGCAACUUAGUGAGGCCCUAAAUGACUUAGUGAGACCCUGUCUCAA
rnacentral:sRNA from 1 species